ACGUUGUUUCGGAGCCGCAUGCCGCACCGAGGAUGGGUGACAAUUAAAGCAGUUAAGUAAGCGUGCUGGACAGCCACUUUCCCACACCGAACCGGAAUCGCGCCCAAACUGCCCAGCACCGCGCGGCCGCGGCCCCAUGUCGCGGAUGAGACCGCCGAGACGCGCAGGCUGUGAAUGGGCCGAGCCUUGCGUUCGGGUCUCCGCAGACCACCUUGCGGGUAACCGACGAGCCAGCACUCGCUUAAUACCCGUGGGUAACAGGUGCAGGCGCAGCCGGUCUGACUGGGAUCGUGCCCUAAAGGAUGCUUCUUCUGACUGCAAUGAGACAGGCGCAUCUGUGAAACCAGACCCUUCCGGUUCCUGCCUGCGGCCAUGCAGCCCUGGUUCCAUGUUACCUGCCAACCCGACUAUGAGUUCAGACCACCUCAGUGUUCUCAGUCUGCACCAGUGAUGAUGCACAGACACGCUUGUGACUGCUCCGGUUGCCUUAGAAAUCAAGGCAAGGCACGCUGAGGGGCCAACAGGAGACAGCUACAAGUAGGAAGGAGAGCAGAAACUUUCAUGGCUGGCAACCAGCACCUGGCAGGAUACAGAACGAGAAUUAGCACCUGGUGAGCUGCUGGGGAGAGCAGAUGCUGUGUAUAAAGCUGGCCACUGACAGGGCAAUGGCUAAAGACAGAGCCAGAGGCUACGGGGAGAGGGUAUAGCCGGGACCUAUCAAAGAAGCAAAGACAAGUGCGGGCCCCACUCUCCCAAACUCCCUUGCUGAUGGACUCACAGUGGCUGGACCUGAGUCCAGCAAAACAGCAAGUGUUAUUUUCCUUCUACUUUAUUUUUUAAAGAUUUAUUUAUUUGGAAGGCAGAGCGACAGAGGGAAAGAGACAGAGAUCUUCCAUCCAAUGGUUCAUUCCCCAGGAGGCAGCCAGGAACCUAGAACUAACCCGGUCUCCCACAUGGGUGACAGGGAGCCAGGGACUUGAGCCAUCAUGUGCUGCUUUUCCAGGUGCAUUAGCAGGAAGCUGGAUGGGAAGCUGAGCAGCCGGGAUUCAAAACCAGCAGUUAGGUAAGGGAAGCGGAUGGUCGUAAGCAGCAGCUGAAGCCACAGUGUCAGAGAACCAGCCACCUUCCCUGCAUUUUAAUGCUCCAUCCGGGAGCAGACUAGCACGGGGCUGAAAAUGCUGUGCCCUGAAGCGACACGGGCAGGCAUCCUGCCUCUGAGACGAGCACUGGGCCUUGAGUAAGACAUUCAACCUCCCUUGGCUUCAGUUCUUUUUGCCAUGAAAUGGAUAAACCUCAUAAGGCUUGGAAGAUUAAAUAAACCAUUUAAGUUCACAGCA
rnacentral:lncRNA from 1 species